rnacentral:rRNA from 1 species
GUGGGGAAUAUUGGGCAAUGGGGGCAACCCUGACCCAGCAACGCCGCGUGAAGGAAGAAGGCUUUCGGGUUGUAAACUUCUUUGACCAGGGACGAACGGCCGGUGGAGUGGAAAGCCACCGGAUUGACGGUACCUGAGAAGGAAGCCACGGCUAACUACGUGCCAGCAGCCGCGGUAAUACGUAGGUGGCAAGCGUUGUCCGGAAUUAUUGGGCGUAAAGCGCGCGCAGGUGGGAUCUUAAGUCCAUUUUGAAAGUUCGGAGCUCAACUCCGUGAUGGGAUGGAAACUGGGAUUCUUGAGUACCGGAGAGGAAAGCGGAAUUCCCCGUGUAGCGGUGAAAUGCGUAGAUAUGGGGAGGAACACCAGUGGCGAAGGCGGCUCACUGGCUCGAUACUGACGCUGAGGUGCGAAAGCGUGGGGAGCAAACAGGAUUAGAUACCCCAGUAGUCC